rnacentral:misc_RNA from 1 species
GGGAAAUUAAGUUAGAAAACUAUUUUUAUUUUGUGGAGAGCUUUCACAUAAUGUUCUGAGAGAUCAAGCGAACACAGGAAAAUGGUCAACUAAAGAAAACAAAAGUUCAGUUAAUCAACUAGUCUUUAUGUUUGGAAGUGGAAGUGAAAUGAAUAAACAGAGUUCCCUUUAGCAAGUUAGAAACAGAAAUGAAAUUCCUAAGAUCUUCUAUCUGGUUAAUUUGA